UAAAGCUACUAAGAGCGUAUAGAGGAUGCCUAGGCACAUAGAGGCGAUGAAGGACGUGGUAAGCUGCGAUAAGCUUCGGGUAGGUGCAAACAACCUUAAAUCCGGAGAUUUCCGAAUGGGGCAACCCAGCCCGGGUCAUGCCGGGCUACUCCCACUUGAAUAUAUAGAGUGGGUUGAGCCAACGGGGAGAACUGACACAUCUAAGUAUCCCCAGGAAGAGAAAAUAAAAAUGAUUUCCUCAGUAGCGGCGAGCGAACAGGAAAGAGCCUAAACCGUUAACGUGUCAAGCCCAAGAGCGUUGCGCUAACGGUGUUGUGGGACUGAAACAGAAUCAAUCUUGGUUGGUUCGGUAAGUCAAAAAAUUAAUCGUUAAAUGAAUUGGUAUGGAAAGGCCAGCCAUAGAAGGUGAUAGCCCUGUAAUUAAAAACGAGAUAUCUUGCUGGUUUCAAAACCCGAGUAACACGGAACACGAGAAAUUUUGUGUGAAUCUGCCGGGACCAUCCGGUAAGGCUAAAUACUCCUAUGUGACCGAUAGUGAACUAGUACCGUGAGGGAAAGGUGAAAAGUACUCCUAGCGGAGAGUGAAAUAGAACCUGAAACUGUACGCUUACAAGCGGUCGGAGCUCCAACUUGUUUGGGGUGACGGCGUGCCUUUUGCAUAAUGAUCCAGCGAGUUGCUCGUAUGUUGCGAGGUUAAGAUUUAAAGAUCGGAGCCGUAGGGAAACCGAGUCUGAAUAGGGCGAUUUAGUAGCAUGCGGCAGACCCGAAACCGAGUGAUCUAGCCAUGACCAGGUUGAAGGUGCGGUAACACGCACUGGAGGACCGAACCAGGGUACGUUGAAAAGUGCUUGGAUGAGUUGUGGUUAGGGGUGAAAGGCCAAUCAAACUCGGAGAUAUCUGGUUCUCGUCGAAAUGCCUUUAGGGGCAGCGUUGUAUUAGUGUAUCGGGGGUAGAGCACUAAAUGGGCUAGGGGGCCUACAAGCUUACCAACCCCAAUUAAACUCCGAAUACCGAUUACAUGUUGUACAGCAGUGAGGCUAUGGGUGAUAAGGUUCAUAGCCAAGAGGGAAACAACCCAGAUCAUCAGCUAAGGUCCCAAAAUUGAUACUAAGUGAUAAAGGAUGUGGAAUCGCCCAGACAGCUAGGAGGUUGGCUUAGAAGCAGCCAUCCUUUAAAGAAAGCGUAACAGCUCACUAGUCAAGGGGUUCUGCGCCGAUAAUUUCCGGGACUAAGUAUCAUACCGAAGCUAUGGGAUUCAUUCGAUUCGAAUGGAUCGGUAGACGAGCGUUCUAUUAACCUGUGAAGGUUGACCCGUGAGGGCAGCUGGAGGAGAUAGAAAUGAGUAUGCUGGAAUGAGUAGCGAUAAAGCCUGUGAAAUGCAGGCUCGCCGUAAGCGUAAGGUUUCCUGAGUAAAGUUAAUCUGCUCAGGGUUAGUCGGACCCUAAGCCGAGGCCGAAAGGCGUAGGCGAUGGAAAACAGGUUUAAUAUUCCUGUACCAGUUUAAUAUUGUUUGAACUAUGGGGGGACGCAGAAGUGAAAGGAGAUCCCGGUUUUGAUUGUCCGGGUUUAAGAGUGUAGGAAGUUCUGAUAGGUAAAUCCGUUAGAAUAAUUCUGAGGCUCGAAUAGGAGGGCUUAGCCCACAAACUCUCCCUAAUCCUGCUGCCAAGAAAAUCCUCUAUGUUAGAUAUUAGACUGACCGUACCGUAAACGGACACACGUACGCGAGGAGAGUAUCCUAAGGCGCUUGAGAGAAUCCAAGUAAAGGAACUAGGCAAAUUAGCCCCGUAACUUCGGGAGAAGGGGUGCCAUUUAAGGAGAAGAACUUUUCGUUCUGAUUUUUAUGUGGCCGCAGUGACCAGGCCCAAGCGACUGUUUACUAAAAACACAGGUCUCUGCUAAGUCGUAAGACGAAAUAUAGGGACUGACACCUGCCCGGUGCUGGAAGGUUAAAUGGAGAGGUUAGCUUCGGCGAAGCUUUGAAACGAAGCCCCAGUAAACGGCGGCCGUAACUAUAACGGUCCUAAGGUAGCGAAAUUCCUUGUCGGGUAAGUUCCGACCUG
rnacentral:rRNA from 1 species